UGCUCUUUCCAUUUUCAUCCUCACAACCCAAAAAGAUGCUUCUCUUUCUCUCUCACAUACUUGCCUAAAGGAACCACCUUUGGUUUAAAAUUUGUGUUUUUGCCUUUUCUUACACAGAAAGUAUGAUACUUGAAUAACGGGCUGGUACAUUUUAGGAUAUUUAGAUUUGUUCUUUUUGUUUUUCUGAGUUUUGGGUUAUUGAGAUUGUGAUACACUUGUCAGAGAAUUGUGGGUUCUAUUUAGUUUUCUGGUUUUUCAGUUGUGUAAUAAUAUUUUGGUGAUCAAGAAGAAGGUUGAGGAUGGGUAUAGUGAGUACCAUAACUGGUUUUAUUGGGUUUGGAAUUUUCUCUUGGCCUUUUAGUUGGCUAUUACCUUUUCAUCUACUUCCAAUCAACUCAUGUCAAGGACCCUGUUAUUCGUCCCCUGAUUGAACAUGAUGCAGAAACUCUGCAAAGUUUGCUUCAAGAGAUACCAGUGUGGGUGAAGAAUCCAGACCAUGACCGUAUUGAUUGGCUUAAUAAAUUCAUCGAGAAAAUGUGACCUUAUUUAGACAAGGUAAUUUGUAAGCAAGUGAAAACCAUAGUAGACCCCAUCAUUGCUGAGCAGAUUCCUCAGUACAAAAUUGAUUCAGUUCAAUUUGAAGUCCUUUCUCUGGGAUGCUUACCACCUGCUUUUACAGGUUAGGCUGUUUACUCUUCUUUUUCUGUUUUAUGUACACACAUGUAGAUGCACAGUCGCAUCAUGUACCCACCAUGUACCACAUUUUCUUCAAGGCCGAGUUUAAGUAUCUAUCUGAUAAUUGGCUGUUUACCAUUACUUCGAAACUCGUUGGUACUCAUAACUGUGCAAGUUAUUUAUAUUCUUCGAAAAGGGAGUUCUGAGGUUGUUCCAUAGCACAUAUCUGGAAUCAUUAAGGAAUCUCAAUAGAGGCCCCCAGCCCCCAGAAAAUCUUGAUUAGUGUCCAGGGACAUUUGAUGGCUAGGUUGAAUGACUAAGGAACUGUUACCAAGCUUGAAAUCCUUUUACUAGCAUCAGCCUAUAGAACUUAGAUUAGUAAUGAUCAUUGGCUUAAUGACCUUUUAGCCCUUGAAGUUUGGGUGGAAGUUCUGAUGCGGCCUCGAAGUUUAAAAACGUACCUUUCGACCCUCAAAGUAUCUUUGUCGUAUCUUUUAACCCUUAUGGCGUAUACCGGUAUAUAAUUGGGUGGACAAAGUUGACAUUUCACACGGGUUAAGAGAGGCAUUAAACAUAAAGGGUUAAAAAGAACAUCUAAUGUAUUUUAAUGUAUUCUUUAGGGGUUAAAAGGAACGAGAUGUAUACUUUAAGGGUUAAAAGGUACACCCAAACUUUACCCCGAAUAUGAAUUGUCAAGUUUAUACCUUGAUUUAUACCGGUAUUUUUAAAAAGGGCUAAAAGGUACGACAAGGAUACUUUGAGGGUCGAAAGAUACGUUUUUAAACUUUGAGUCCGCAUCGGAACUUCCAUCCAUACUUCGAGGGCUAAAAGGUCAUUAAGCCAAUGAUCAUUUUACCGAAGUUGGGUCUUCUAUGUUUAAAAGAUGGGUACAUAUAAUAUUCAUUUACAAUGAUGCUUUAGUUAUCUUCACUGAACAACUAAUGAACAUCAGUUUUGACAGAAACACCCUCCGUGAGUCUGAUCUAUGAGUCUGAGACUGGUUUGGUAUGUUGUAAAUUGUAAUAGUAAACUAAGCGUUUUUCAAUUAUUUUUUGAGUGAUUGCCACUUUAAUUACACCCCUUAUGUUUAGGCGCUUUUUCGAUUUGGUCUCAAACAAUUUUUUUUGGCAGUAUGCACCCGUAAAUUUUGAAAAGCGCUUUGCUUUGCACCCCUUUGACCACUCUCCGUUUAAUUGACCGUUAAAGUUAAUAGAUAUGGGUUUACACUUUGCACCCCACAAUUUUAAUUUUUUUUCAUGAGUAUUUUGAAU